rnacentral:rRNA from 1 species
UACGUAGGGGACAAGCGUUGUCCGGAAUCAUUGGGCGUAAAGCGCGUGUAGGCGGUUCGAUAAGUCUGCUGUGAAAGUCCAGGGCUCAACCCUGGGAUGCCGGUGGAUACUGUCGGACUAGAGUACGGAAGAGGCGAGUGGAAUUCCCGGUGUAGCGGUGAAAUGCGCAGAUAUCGGGAGGAACACCAAUUGCGAAGGCAGCUCGCUGGGACGUCACUGACGCUGAGACGCGAAAGCGUGGGGAGCAAACAGG